GCAGAGUUGGUAUUGGUACCUAUACCUAUAUACUCGAUAACGAGAAUACAAAAGCAAUAAUAAUACUCGGAAGGAAAAAAAAAAUUCAAUUGGACAUGCGAUAUAAAGCUACCGAGUUAAGUUGAUCGCGUAUAUACAUGGUACGUAGAGUGUGUACCUUUACCUUUACCUUUCCAGGAAAAUGAAAACAUUCGCAGGUGCUGCGGAGAGGAUUGAGGGCACUGCACCGUUGUAAUGAACGUUAACGUUCAUAGCGGUUAUGUCGCAUUACACCUGAUCUGCAUCACCUGUAAUCAACAAUGAUCAAUCGCGUGUUCUUGAUCUGCAGGUAUAUAUCGUACCUUUUAGCCAAUUUUUCGCGCGAUAGUGGUUAAAUUUUUUUCAAAUAGUCGUUUACUACUUACUACGUUCUCGAUGUGAUAUUUUAAAGUGUUAGUUGGACGGCGAGGUUCGCUUUUAUCGUGUAGUAUUCUCGCAGUAUGCGUGUUGUUCUGAACUGAAGGCUGUACAAUGACCUCCGAACAAGAAACACAAAGAACUUUACACGACGAAAUACCGAAAAGGUGAAUGAGAAAAAGAUGGCAAUUGCCGAAAAAAGGAAUGUAUUGACUGAGAAAAAUAUGAUCUCUCAUCGAAGACCCAAAAUCCAUCAUCGAUUUAGAAUAAUUUUUUGGUCAUUAAUUCGAUAAUACUGUUCCUCGUUGAGUAUUUUUAUUUUAGUUUAAGAAUUUUAUUUUAUUUAAGUUUCAUGAAUUAUACAGCUCAUGCCAAAGAAUUCCUAUUAAAAAGCAAGCUUUAAUUGCGUUAAGUAGUAAAUUCAUUUUUAAAUUUAGUUUUUAGUGAGAUAAAAAUUAGAGAUGCUUUGUUAUUGAAUAUUCUGUUAAAAAAUUAUUGUUGUGUUAUUUCUAGUUUAAAUUUUUUACUUUUCAUUCAAUAUUUAUAAGGUUGUUUUAGUAGUUUAAGAUUUAUUUAUUUUCUAUUUUGUUGACUGUUUGUUGAGAUUUUUUUUUUUGAUAGAGGAGUAAUUGGGAUUAUAAAAAAUUGCACCAAAUAAUUAAUAAGUACAUUUGAACUGCUCACAAACUUUAUUAAGUAGGUAGUAGGUACAUUCCAAGAGAAACAAGAGUGUUUUGAAAUAAUUUUUUAAAAUCAGUUUAAUAUGACAAUUAAAUAAUAUUAUAAUAUGAUAAGUAAACAAAAAGUUUUUAAAAAAUUUGAAUUUUUUUCUGAAGAUCUUCAUAAAUUUUUGAAAAAAAUUGUACUGUGUCAAAUAACAUACUGUGAUUAAAAUUUCAAUUUUGUGCUUUUAAACUUUAUUGUCUUUUUUUUAUCGGUCUCUCAUUUAAAUUCAAUAACCACAAUUCGAGAGGUUUUUUUAAAGCGAGAUAAAUGAUACAAAUAAAAAUAAAUUAAGAAAAAUUGUUGUUUUCUAAUUAUUUAAGAAAAAAGUUACAUCUAGUUGAUUUAUUAUUGUUAGUAAUUGUUUUUUCCUAAUAAUUUACGAGUAAAUGUCUUAUUGAAUUUUCUUAUUUAAAAUUAAAUGUUUUUCGAGUUGAAUAAGAGUAUCAUAAUUAUAUUCAUAUUCGAGCCUAUAACAAAUUAUGCGACACGUGAAACACGAAAAUGUUUUCUGACGUAGUUCAAAAUUACUUUUUUUUUUCAAAAUUGGACGCAACCAACCAUCACUUUUGGGCCAACAAAAUUUUCUUGCGAAAUGACUUUAAAAAGGUGGAAAUAUGUGAGCUUUUUAAAAUAAAUUUUAACUUUCUUUUCUU